rnacentral:rRNA from 1 species
AGUGAACGCUGGCGGUAGGCCUAACACAUGCAAGUCGAACGGCAGCACAGUAAGAGCUUGCUCUUACGGGUGGCGAGUGGCGGACGGGUGAGGAAUACAUCGGAAUCUACUUUUUCGUGGGGGAUAACGUAGGGAAACUUACGCUAAUACCGCAUACGACCUACGGGUGAAAGCAGGGGAUCUUCGGACCUUGCGCGAUUGAAUGAGCCGAUGUCGGAUUAGCUAGUUGGCGGGGUAAAGGCCCACCAAGGCGAGGAUCCGUAGCUGGUCUGAGAGGAUGAUCAGCCACACUGGAACUGAGACACGGUCCAGACUCCUACGGGAGGCAGCAGUGGGGAAUAUUGGACAAUGGGCGCAAGCCUGAUCCAGCCGUACCGCGUGGGUGAAGAAGGCCUUCGGGUUGUAAAGCCCUUUUGUUGGGAAAGAAAAGCAGCAGGUUAAUACCCCGCUGUUCUGACGGUACCCAAAGAAUAAGCACCGGCUAACUUCGUG